GAGAGGCCGAGAGCAGUAAGGACUGCUAAUCCACACCCCCMUGGUUAA
rnacentral:tRNA from 1 species